rnacentral:tRNA from 1 species
GAAGAUAUAGCUCAGUGGUAGAGUGCACGCUUAGCAUUCAUGAGGUCCUGGGCUCAAUCCCCAGUACCUCUC